UCAAACUUGGUCAUUUAGAGGAAGUAAAAGUCGUAACAAGGUUUCCGUAGGUGAACCUGCGGAAGGAUCAUUAGUGAAUUUAGAGCGUAACUUCGGUUAGCUCAACCUUCAUUUUCCAACUCUGUGCACUAUUGGCGGACUGGGAGCAAGUAAUUGCUAUUCAGUCUGCGGCUCACUAUUAAACAUUAGUUAAAGUAUGUAUAUAAAAACAAAACAAAAAAAACUUUCAACAACGGAUCUCUUGGCUCUCGCAUCGAUGAAGAACGCAGC
rnacentral:misc_RNA from 1 species